GUAGGUGGCAAGCGUUGUCCGGAACUUAUUGGGCGUAAAGCGCGCGCAGGCGGUUCUUUAAGUCUGAUGUGAAAGCCCACGGCUCAACCGUGGAGGGUCAUUGGAAACUGGAGAACUUGAGUACAGAAGAGGAAAGCGGAAUUCCACGUGUAGCGGUGAAAUGCGUAGAGAUGUGGAGGAACACCAGUGGCGAAGGCGGCUUUCUGGUCUGUAACUGACGCUGAGGCGCGAAAGCGUGGGGAGCAAACAGGGAUUAGAUACCCUGGUAGUCCACGCCGUAAACGAUGAGUGCUAAGUGUUAGGGGGUUUUCCGCCCCCUUAGUGCUGCAGCUAACGCAUUAAGCACUCCGCCUGGGGAGUACGGCCGCAAGGCUG
rnacentral:rRNA from 1 species